CAGCCGCCGCGGUAAUUCGUAGGGUGCGAGCGUUAAUCGGAUUUACUGGGCGUAAAGCGUGCGCAGGCGGCCCGUUAAGACAGGUGUGAAAUCCCUGGGCUCAACCUAGGAAUUGCGCUUGUGACUGGCGGGCUCGAGUACGGUAGAGGGGGGUGGAAUUCCUGGCGUAGCAGUGAAAUGCGUAGAGAUCAGGAGGAACACCGAUGGCGAAGGCAGCCCCCUGGGCCUGUACUGACGCUCAUGCACGAAAGCGUGGGGAGCAAACAGGAUUAGAUACCCUGUUAGUCCACGCCCUAAACGAUGGGUACUAGCCGUUUGGUGCGCGAUAGCGCUGAGUGGCGAAGCUAACGCGUGAAGUACCCCGCCUGGGGAGUACGGCCGCAAGGUUGAAACUUAAAGGAAUUGGCGGG
rnacentral:rRNA from 1 species